GUCCUCACUUUGGCAGCACCUAUACUAAAUUUUGAACAAUACAGAGAAGAUUAGUGUGGCCUCUGAGCAAAGUGAUAUGUAAAUUCAUGAAGUGUUUCAUAUUUUU
ensembl:snRNA U6 U6 spliceosomal RNA